rnacentral:rRNA from 1 species
UACGAGUGGUCCAAGCGUUAUCCGGAAUUAUUGGGCGUAAAGGAUGUGUAGGUGGUUAUGUUAGUCUGGUGUCCAACCUCUGAGCUCAACUUGGAGACAGCAUUGGAAACGGCAUGACUAGAGUAUGUUAGGGGUAAGCGGAACUAAUAGUGUAGGGGUGAAAUCCGUUGAUAUUAUUGGGAACACCAAAAGCGAAGGCAGCUUACUGGAACAUUACUGACACUGAAACAUGAAAGCGUGGGUAGCGAACAGG